UACGUAGGGUGCGAGCGUUAAUCGGAUUUACUGGGCGUAAAGCGUGCGCAGGCGGCCCGUUAAGACAGGUGUGAAAUCCCUGGGCUCAACCUAGGAAUUGCGCUUGUGACUGGCGGGCUCGAGUACGGUAGAGGGGGGUGGAAUUCCUGGUGUAGCAGUGAAAUGCUUAGAGAUCAGGAGGAACACCGAUGGCGAAGGCAGCCCCCUGGGCCUGUACUGACGCUCAUGCACGAAAGCGUGGGGAGCAAACAGG
rnacentral:rRNA from 1 species